rnacentral:rRNA from 1 species
UACGGAGGGUGCGAGCGUUGUCCGGAAUCAUUGGGCGUAAAGGGCGCGUAGGCGGCUCAUGAAGGCUGUGGUGAAAGUCCGGGGCUCAACCUCGGAUCGGCCGUGGCGACUCGUGGGCUGGAGCACUGUAGAGGCGGGUGGAAUUCCGGGUGUAGCGGUGGAAUGCGUAGAGAUCCGGAGGAACACCAGUGGCGAAGGCGGCCCGCUGGGCAGUGGCUGACGCUGAGGCGCGACAGCGUGGGGAGCAAACAGG